GACGAACGCUGGCGGCGUGCCUAAUACAUGCAAGUUGAGCGCUGAAGGUUGGUUCUUGUACCAACUGGAUGAGCAGCGAACGGGUGAGUAACGCGUGGGGAAUCUGCCUUUGAGCGGGGGACAACAUUUGGAAACGAAUGCUAAUACCGCAUAAAAACUUUAAACACAAGGUUUAAGUUUGAAAGAUGCAAUUGCAUCACUCAAAGAUGAUCCCGCGUUGUAUUAGCUAGUUGGUGAGGUAAAGGCUCACCAAGGCGAUGAUACAUAGCCGACCUGAGAGGGUGAUUGGCCACAUUGGGACUGAGACACGGCCCAAACUCCUACGGGAGGCAGCAGUAGGGAAUCUUCGGCAAUGGACGAAAGUCUGACCGAGCAACGCCGCGUGAGUGAAGAAGGGUUUCGGAUCGUAAAACUCUGUUGGUAGAGAAGAACGUUGGUGAGAGUGGAAAGCUCAUCAAGUGACGGUAACUACCCAGAAAGGGACGGCUAACUACGUG
rnacentral:rRNA from 1 species